CCUAAUUACUGGGCUACUGCACCCAAAAUUUUUCUUAAUCCAACAUCGAGGUCGCAAUCUGCUUUGUCGAUAUGAGCUCUCAAAAACAAUUACGCUGUUAUCCCUAAGGUAACUUAAUCUUAUGAUCAUAAAUUAUGGAUCAAAACAACAAACAUAAAUAAAUGAUAUAAUAAUGAAGAGUUUAUUCAUUCUUCAUGUCACCCCUACAAAACAUCAUCAUUAAAUAUAGAAAGACAAACAAAAACUAUAUAAAAAAAAUGUUAAGCUCUAUAGGGUCUUCUCGUCCUAAAGAAAAAUUUAAGCCUUUUGAGUCAAAAGUUAAAUUCAAAAAUUUAUUAAGAGACAGUUGAUUUCUCGUCAAGCCAUUCAUUCCAGCCACUAAUUAAGAGACUAAUGAUUAUGUUACCUUUGCACGGUCAAAAUAA